CCGACACCGCCCGUCACACCACGAAAGCCCGCUAGCAACAGAAAUCCGGUGAUCUAACCCGCAAGGGAGGAAGCGCUGAAGUUGGUGGUUGGUGAUUGGGGUG
rnacentral:rRNA from 1 species